AACUUAUUUACAUGCCUCUCUCUGAAUGCAUACUUAUCUUGCAUUGAUUUUUUGAGCAAAUAUAUAUAUGUAGUUUGUUUUAACAAUGCGACAAUUCGUCGUCUAAGAUUUUGACUCGUUUUGUUAUUGAGACCGAAUUUGUAUAAUCUGGUGACAAUGCUGCGACAAAUCCUUUUGCAAAGUGCUAGGGACCAAAAUAAUAUACUUCAGCGAUUUACUUUGCAGAGGAAUUCACAGUAGAAACAAGAAGGCGAAGGAGUACAUAGCCAAAUGUUGGAAUUCUUUGAAGGAAAUUGAUAGAGUAAGGGAUUAUUGGGACUACAAUGACGUAAAGUUGAUUCCUUUCUUACGGAUGGGCUGUUUUAUUGGUUGAAGCUACAUCAUGGGUAGAGUUGAUAAUAAAUAUGUUCAGUCGGAUCAUCAAGCAUUCUAUUAUUUGGAGAAGGCUAUUGAUAAGUAUUGAGUAUUAAUGACAGUAUUGAUGACUGGCUGUAGUAUCUAAAGCUCUAUUUUUGGAUUUAAUUCAUUCCAGGAUCCAAGAUGAAGCUGGUGUCCAAGAAGAAGAUUAGUGGAUGACAACCAUUGUAGUUUUGUUCAAAAAUUGUUUUUUUUUUGACAACCAUUGUAGUUUUGUUCAAAAAUUUUUUUUUUUUUACAACCAUUGUAGUUUUGUUCAAAAAUUAUCUUUUUUGUUUGAAAUAUUUUUAUGU